rnacentral:lncRNA from 1 species
AACUUUCUUGCAUAAAUCUGAAUCAUUAGUACAUUGAAUUAGUCAUUUCUACUCUAAUGGCAUUUUAAUAAUCUCUAUACUUGUCUUCAAGUCCUGAACAAGUCUAGUAUUGUGUUAUGCGCCUUGGCGUAAGAUCUAGUCACAGGUCUAGACGAGAAAGUAUCAUUACUUCGACCUAUGGUUACUCAAAGGCAGAUUCGUCUUUGACUGAACCCCCUUCCCAAACUAACGUUUGUGAUAAAAAAUAAACCCCCAUUUUAUUUCAUAUUGGCAGCCUUUUUAUAGGCUGUUAAUUACAAAGGAAAAUCCUAAUCUAAUUCCUAAUUUAAAGUCCUAAUAGAAUUCCUAAUUUAAAGUUUAUAAGGAAAUAAAAAACCUAGUAAAACUAAAACUCCCAAAGAAAUUAAAUAAAUGUAGAAUUCUAAUUCCUAUUCCUCCGUUGAUAUUGUUUUCCAAUGAAAACAUCUAUAUCAUUACUCCCCCUCUCGGAGUUGAGCUUGUCCUCAAGCUCAAAUUCAGGAUAAGCUGCUCGAAAAUUAUCAAUUGGUUCCCAAGUGGCAUCUUCUUGAGGGCAUCUUGCCCAUUGCACUAAUAGUUCCCGCCGACCCCGAUUAAGCCUGGUAUUAAUAAUAGCUUGUGGAGUAGGCAAGGCUUUGCCAUCAUAUACUAAGGGCAAGUCUCCGACCGCAUCUGGUUGAGGUCCCUUGUAUUCUUUGAGGAAAGAAACAUGAAAUACAUUAUGUAUUCUGCUGCCUGUAGGUAAUUCAAGCUGAUAGGCCACUGAUCCUAUUUUGUUCAAGACUUUAAAAGGACCAAAAUAUUUUGGCAAUAACUUGUGAUGCUUCUGUUUAGUUAUCGUCAAUUGUCGAUACUGUUGAAACCGUAACCAAACCCAAUCCCCGACUUUAAAAUUCAACUCUCUGUGCCCCAAAUCAUAAGUGGCUUUCAUUCGUUGCUGAGCUUGCAAGAGUCUAUCCCGAGCAUUGUGUAAAAGUGCAUCCCUAUCUUGUAGAGCCUUAUCCACAGCUUCAAUCCUUGUAGAACCAGCUGAAUAGGAGAGAAGUCGAGGUGGAUCCCUACCGUAUACUAAUUGGAAGGGAGUGGCCUUUAGGGCAGUGUGAUAUGAGGUGUUGUAGCAAUACUCCGCCCAUGGAACCCAAUCGACCUACUGUCGUGGACGAUCACUAGAGAGGCAUCGUAGGUACAUUUCUAUUGUUCGGUUAACUACCUCUUCUGACCAUCAGAUUGGGGAUGGUAUGCUGAGGAAAAAGCGAGCUUAGAACCACUUUGACGAAAUAAUUCCUUCCAAAACAGGCUGAGGAAAACUUUAUCACGGUCUGAAACUAUGGAUUCAGGCAAGCCAUGAAGUCGGAAUACCUCUGCAAAAAAGACGGCAGCAACAGAUAUAGCAGUAAAUGGAUGGGACAAAGGUAAAAAAUGAGCGUACUUCGACAGUCUGUCCACAACCACCAUAAGUACCGAUUUCCCUUUUACUUUGGGUAGACCCUCCACGAAAUCCAUAGAAAUAUCAGCCCAAACAUGUUGUGGUAUUGGAAGAGGUUGAAGUAAACCUGCGGGCUGUAAAUUUUUCCAUUUGUGGCGUUGGCAUACUAAACAAUGUUGCACAAAUUCUGAUGUUGCAAGCUUCAUUCCUUUCCAAAAAAAAUCUUGGCGAAGACGAUGCAAUGUUUUCAAUUCCCCUUCAUGUUCCAUAGUAUGUAUGGAGGAGAUAAGAGUGGGAAUAAUUGGUGAGGUAGGUAAAAGGUACAACCUCCCUUUGAAGAAAAUCAACCCAUCUUGUGCAACCCAAUCGGGCCCCAACUCUCAUUGUAGAAUUCUUUGCUGGAGUUGUGAUAAUUCUGGGGAAGCUUCUAUUUCUCGUCUGAUGGCUUUAAGAAUUUCAACUUGAGGGAAUGAAACAGUCAUGAGGUGUGGUAAGUCUUCGUCUUUUCUAGAUAAAGCAUCUGCAGCCCUGUUCAACUUCCCUGCUUUAUAUUCCAUUCGAAAAUCAAACCCCAUUAGCUUGCUGAUCCAAUGUUGUUGUGGAGAUGUCAUAAGUCGUUGGUCUAACAAAUACUUAAGACUGAAGUGAUCAGUACGGAUGAGGAAAUGCCUUCCCCAAAGAUAGGGUCGCCAAUGAGUCACUGCCUUUGCCAAACCAAUUAAUUCAUGUUCGUAGGCAGCCAACUUAAGGUGUCGAUCUGCAAUCUUGCAACUGAAAAAGGCAAUGGGGUGUCCCUUUUGCUGUAGUACAGCUCCAAACCCGCUGUCCGAAGCAUCAUAUUCAACCACAAAUUCCUCCGCAAAGUUGGGUAAUUGCAAAACUGGGGCUGCUGAAAGAGAAGUUUUUAAUUGGGUGAAAGCAACAUCAGCUUCCUUAGUCCAGUUGAAGGCAUUUUUCUUUAGAAGAGAUGUUAAGGGUGCAGCCACUUGUCCAUAAUUCUUGAUGAAUUUUCUGUAAUAUCCUGCCAACCCAAGAAAGCCUCGUAGAGCCUUGGUAGUUUUAGGAGUUGGCCAAUCGGUGACAUCUUUAAUUUUAGUGUGAUCAACCUCGACCCCUUCACCAUGGAUGACAUGACCGAGGUAGGUUACCUGAGACUCUCCAAAGAAACACUUGGAUUUCUUUAAGAACAACAUAUUAUCCCGCAAGAGUUCAAAAACUAAUCUUACAUGAUGCAUAUGUUCAGUCCAUGUUUUGCUAUAAAUUAAUAUGUCAUCAAAGAAGACUAAAACAAACUUACGCAAGUAAGGGCGAAAAAUGUCAUUCAUCAAACUCUGAAAUGUGGAAGGGGCAUUGGUAAGCCCGAAUGGCAUGACAAGAAACUCAAAGUGUCCAUGGUGGGUUCGGAAGGCUGUCUUUUCCACAUCAAUAGUUGCCAUUCUAAUUUGAAAAUAUCCCGAUUGUAAAUCCAAUUUUGUAAAAUAUUUUGCCCCAUGAAGUUCAUCCAACAAUUCAUCCACGACAUGAAUCGGAUAUUUGUCUUUAACAGUGCAAGCAUUAAGCUCUCGAUAAUCGAUGCAAAAACGCCAUGACCCGUCAUGCUUAUUUACUAAUAGUACUGGAGAAGAGAAUGGUGAUCUACUGGGUCGAAUGAUUCCUUGUUGUAACAUUUGGUCACACUGCUUCUCAAUCUCAUCCUUUUGAAAAUGUGGAUAUCGAUAAGGCCUGACUACAAUUGGUCCCGUUCCUGGUUUGAGAGUUAUACGAUGGUUACAUUUGCGGUUAGGAGGUAACCUAGACGGUUCUUGGAAUAAAUGCGCAAAUUCUACCAGUAGCUUAUCUAAUACUAUAUUAGUUAAAUUCUGUCCCUGUAUCAAGCUGAGUCGUGGAACUUCCUUUGGGUGCUGCCCUUGCCAGAGUAUCUUCUUCUUGUUUACUGCAAAUUGCAUAAUUAAGGAGCUGAAAUCCCAUAAAAUUGGACCAAGGGUACACAACCAUUUAACCUCCAAAAUCAUAUCAAACCCUUCUAAUGGUAUUGUAUAAAAAUCAGCUUGAAAGUUGUCAUUGGCCACAACGAACUGUACUGAUUUACAAAUGCCAAUGUUAGGAACCCGUUCUCCGUUUGCCACACAUACUUGCAACCCCCUUUUCUUUUGUAUUUUCAGUCCCAAUCUUGGCACUAGACCUUCGCGUAGAAAGUUAUGUGUACUGCCUGAAUCAACAAGAACUAACACUGUUUUUCCUGACACCUUUGCUGGUAGUUGCAUAGUAGAUGAAUUGCAAGUUCCUCUAAUGGCAUGUAAGGAAAUUUCAAGAUCAUCUACCUCAUCAUCUUGCUCAUCUUCAAUAUUUGGUACUUCUAUCCAAAAUAGUCUUUUACAUUUGUGCCCCAUGGAGUAAGACUCGUCACAAUUAUAACACAAUCCCUUAGCCCUUCUCUCUGCCAUCUCUGCUCGUGUCAAUCUUUUGAUAAAUGGUGCGGAAGAACCUAUUUUGCUGUUAUUCCCCAUUGGUUUCGUUGUUUGUCCUUCUCCCUUUGCAAAGCUCUUAGUUGUUGGAAUAAUGGAAUUGAUGCCAGUGUUUUGGGAAGCUGACCAGUUUAGAUUGGUUUGAGAUAACAUCUUGGAAGAGACUUUUUGUUUCCGUUCCAGAGCUCGAGCCAUAUUCAUUGCAACUCCAAGGUUUCCCGGUUGUUACAUCUCGAUAUCAAUUCUAAGUUCCUCUACUAAUCCGGCAGUAAAAAGGUUUACUUGUUGUCGAGGUUUAAGAUCAGUAGUCCUAGCCAGUAGUGAUUGAAAUUGACGUUGAUAUUCUUCUACCGUCCCAGUUUGUCUCAAGUUUGCAAGUUCCCCCAAGGGGUUAUUACUCAUAGGUGGCCCAAACCUGACAUGACAACACUCUCUAAAACGCUCCCAAUCCAAAUUUGCCUCCUCUUCCUCGAUUUGAUCAAACCACAAUUGUGCUUCUCCUAAGAGAUGGAAUGAAGCUAAGCCGACUUUGUCUUCUUCGUUGGUCCGCUGAUUGCCAAAAAAAUUUUCGCAUCUUUUUAACCAUCCUAAAGGAUCACCAACACCAUCAUAAGUGGGAAAUUCCAUCUUGGAGUAUCUUGGCACCAUGCCCCCACCGUGUUGUGAAUCUAAAUUUCUUUUCUUGCCUCCACUGCUGCCUUGUUCUUCAUUAUUUUUUUCUAAAUUCUCUUUCGUUGUCUUUUGGACUGAAAGAGAUAAAAUCGCCAUCUGCUCCUCUAAUGCUUGUUGCCUUGUAGCCAUUUGUUCCAUAAAUGCCUCCAGCUUAGCUGUCAAAGUUUUUUCGUCACCCAUGACAACUGACUCCGAUACCAAGUUGUUAUGCGCCUUGGCGUAAGAUCUAGUCACAGGUCUAGACGAGAAAGUAUCCUUGCUUCGACCUAUGGUUACUCAAAGGCAGAUUCGUCUUUGACUGAACCCCCUUCCCAAACUAACGUUUGUGAUAAAAAAUAAACCCCCCUUUUAUUUCAUAUUGGCAGCCUUUUUAUAGGCUGUUAAUUACAAAAGGAAAAUCCUAAUCUAAUUCCUAAUUUAAAGUCCUAAUAGAAUUCCUAAUUUAAAGUUUAUAAGGAAAUAAAAAACCUAGUAAAACUAAAACUCCCAAAGAAAUUAAAUAAAUGUAGAAUUCUAAUUCCUAUUCCUCCGUUGAUAUUGUUUUCCAAUGAAAACAUCUAUAUCAUAUUGUUCCGUAGGAUUUUAUCUUCCGGCUCUGCCCGAGUACCUGAAGGGACAGAGUAGGAGCGCCUCAUAGAGUGCCUGGAAAGGCAAACCAUGCGUGAUUGUGCAUGGCUGGACUCAAACCCCUGCCCUACAGGGCAUUUAUGGGUGAGACUGCCAAGUCCAAAAACCUGUCAAGAAAAAUGCUGGCAUGCAAUAUGUCAAGUUUCAAAUGACAUUUUCUUGGCAAUUUAUAUCUACUUUUGAAUAUAGAUUUUUUUCUUUUUUCAUUUUUCUUUUUUGUUCUCGGUGCUAACUGCUUAGUUCACAUCGAAUGUUGUUCGGUGUAGUUGUUCAGCACCUAUCUAGCGGCCUUGUUUCCAUUAGAACAACAAACACUGAAUUAUUUUUGCAG